rnacentral:misc_RNA from 1 species
GAAGAGGAAGGGCGAUGGAGCGGGGUGUGGGAUUAGGGUUUGGUUCGUGGGGAGUUGCUUCUCGAGGUCGAAGGUGGAUAGCUCGAUCAGCAGCCCGGUGCUUCAGUUUGUGGACAGUAAAUCAACAAACAAUGGUAGCAAGGAGCAACCUGUUGUUCCAGUAGUCUCUGGCUCUACAACCACUAGUAAUGCAGAAAGUACAAUAUCCACUCCCAAAGGGGGAGAGGAGUUUAAAAUUGCAUCUCAGCUGUACAAGUUCACUUUCAGUGAGCUGAAGUCGGCCACAAGGAAUUUCAGACCUGACAGU